UUCCAUUGUAAGUUUUCUUAUGGGGAAAA
rnacentral:piRNA from 1 species